rnacentral:rRNA from 1 species
UACGUAGGUGGCAAGCGUUGUCCGGAUUUACUGGGCGUAAAGAGCGCGCAGGCGGUCGUUCAAGUCGCGUGUGAAAGCCCCCCGGCUCAACUGGGGAGGGUCACGCGAUACUGAUCGACUCGAAGGCAGGAGAGGGUAGUGGAAUUCCCGGUGUAGAGGUGAAAUUCGUAGAUAUUCGCAAGAACACCAGUGGCGAAGGCGGACUCACUGGCCCGGUACUGACGCUGAGGCACGAAAGCGUGGGGAGCAAACAGGG